rnacentral:piRNA from 1 species
UUGGUUUGUAAAGACUAGUGGGAGUCCUC